CCUCACCUCCUGAGUAAUCCAAGAACCCCAAGGUUGCCCAGUCCUAAAGGGCUCUGUCCAGGUCUCACACCCAAGUCGGCAGAACUCUGGACACUGGUCAGUCCACUGCUACUGAUGCUCGUCACGGCCAUGAAGUCUUGGUGAACCCAGUACCCACGGGAAACAGCAGACACCAUUGCUGUCCUGCUGUGAUGACACCCAUGUAGUUCCUGGAGGGGAACCUGAGCAGAAUCUUAGAGCCAAGCUCUCACCCUCGGGGCUCUGCCAUCACCAGAGGGCUAGAAAGACAAAUCUUCAUGAAUCCAAGAUGUGUUUCUGAUAUCUCUUUCACUGACACAGGGAGGAAAAAGUUCAUCAGCAAUUGUUUGUUCUUCGUGCUCAACUUGACAGGAGAUGGAGAAAAGCACACAGCCAAGGUCAGAGAGCGGCAGACUCUCUCCUCCAUUAAGUGUCUUCAUCUUUAAACAGCACCUGAUCAAAAAAUCGCCUGAACCUUUUCUCUCAGUAGCCAGCCAGCCAGCCGUGAGAAAGGCCUGCAAGUGGCAGGAAGGAUGCUUGAGAGCAGCACACACCUGGGUCUCUCUGUCAUACUCAGCCAGGAGAGAGUGAGCCCUGCAGAUUGUCAACUUCCCAGGU